UACGUAGGUGGCAAGCGUUGUCCGGAUUUAUUGGGUUUAAAGGGUGCGUAGGCGGCCCCGUAAGUCAGUGCUGAAAUAUCCCGGCUUAACCGGGAGGGUGGCAUUGAUACUGCAGGGCUUGAGUAAAGUUGAGGUAGGCGGAAUUGACGGUGUAGCGGUGAAAUGUGUAGAGAUCGGGAGGAACACCGGUGGCGAAGGCGGGUCUCUGGGCAUCUCCUGACGCUGAGGCGCGAAAGCGUGGGGAGCAAACGGG
rnacentral:rRNA from 1 species